rnacentral:tRNA from 1 species
GGCCGAGUAGCUCAGUUGGUAGAGCAGGGGAUUGAAAAAUCCCCGUGUCGGCGGUUCGAUUCCGUCCUCGGCCACCA